UCGUCCCCCAAAUCGCACUUCCAUUCCCUCCCAAAUCCGCGCCUUCUUCUCCUUCGAUCCAUCGUCAUCGGGUAGUAGUGGCAGCUCCUCUGGAACCUUGCACGUCGAUUCCCCACGAAGGACCUUUAAGAACGAGGUUCCUUUGGUUAGGUUUGUGAUUCAAGAGCUCCCAUUGUCUUUCUUCAUCACAUUCUACAUUGUGUCAGCACUCAGUGGCUUCCUUUAGACCCUCCUGAAAGUCACCUGAGAUCAGUUCAAUCAAUGUAAUUGUUCAACUACUAUGAUUGUCAGCCAGACAGCAGCUAUGUCAUCUUCAGCAAGUUUUUCCAGCUUCAAGGACAGUUUAUGUUUGAACAGAUCUUUGAGCAUCAAGUUUGCCUCUUCCAAUUUGAGGGACAUGCAGUUUUGCUUUCAACAAUUUUGUCUGCAACUAGCUAACCUCAUU